AUUGAACGCUGGCGGCAGGCCUAACACAUGCAAGUCGAGCGGAUGAGGAGAGAUUGCUCUCUGAUUUAGCGGCGGACGGGUGAGUAAUACCUAGGGAUCUGCCUGGUAGUGGGGGAUAACGUCCGGAAACGGGCGCUAAUACCGCAUACGUCCUACGGGAGAAAGCAGGGGACCUUCGGGCCUUGCGCUAUCAGAUGAGCCUAGGUCGGAUUAGCUAGUUGGUGAGGUAAUGGCUCACCAAGGCUACGAUCCGUAACUGGUCUGAGAGGAUGAUCAGUCACACUGGAACUGAGACACGGUCCAGACUCCUACGGGAGGCAGCAGUGGGGAAUAUUGGACAAUGGGCGAAAGCCUGAUCCAGCCAUGCCGCGUGUGUGAAGAAGGUCUUCGGAUUGUAAAGCACUUUAAGUUGGGAGGAAGGGCAGUAAGUUAAUACCUUGCUGUUUUGACGUUACCGACAGAAUAAGCACCGGCUAACUUCGUGCCAGCCGCCGCCGUAACAC
rnacentral:rRNA from 1 species